rnacentral:sRNA from 1 species
UGGCAGAAGCUACACCGCGGGCUUCCCACCGC